AGAGUUUGAUCCUGGCUCAGGACGAACGCUGGCGGCGUGCCUAAUACAUGCAAGUCGAGCGGAGUUUUAUCAGAAGCUUGCUUCUGAUAAAACUUAGCGGCGGACGGGUGAGUAACACGUAGGUAACCUGCCCACAAGACUGGGAUAACUACCGGAAACGGUAGCUAAUACCGGAUAAUUUAUUUUCUCGCCUGAGAGAAUAAUAAAAGUCGGAGCAAUCUGGCACUUGUGGAUGGACCUGCGGCGCAUUAGCUAGUUGGUGAGGUAACGGCUCACCAAGGCGACGAUGCGUAGCCGACCUGAGAGGGUGAACGGCCACACUGGGACUGAGACACGGCCCAGACUCCUACGGGAGGCAGCAGUAGGGAAUCUUCCGCAAUGGACGAAAGUCUGACGGAGCAACGCCGCGUGAGUGAUGAAGGUUUUCGGAUCGUAAAGCUCUGUUGCCAGGGAAGAACGUCCGAUAGAGUAACUGCUAUCGGAGUGACGGUACCUGAGAAGAAAGCCCCGGCUAACUACGUGCCAGCAGCCGCGGUAAUACGUAGGGGGCAAGCGUUGUCCGGAAUUAUUGGGCGUAAGCGCGCGCAGGCGGUUAUUUAAGUUGGGUGUUUAAUCCCGGGGCUCAACCUCGGGUCGCACCCAAAACUGGGUAACUUGAGUGCAGAAGAGGAGAGUGGAAUUCCACGUGUAGCGGUGAAAUGCGUAGAUAUGUGGAGGAAAACCAGUGGCGAAGGCGACUCUCUGGGCUGUAACUGACGCUGAGGCGCGAAAGCGAGGGGAGCAAUCAGGAUUAGAUACCCUGGUAGUCCACGCCGUAAA
rnacentral:rRNA from 1 species